GACGGAGGAUGCAAGCGUUAUCCGGAAUGAUUGGGCGUAAAGCGUCUGCAGGUGGCAGUUCAAGUCUGCUGUCAAAGACCGGGGCUUAACUUCGGAAAGGCAGUGGAAACUGAACAGCUAGAGUAUGGUAGGGGCAGAGGGAAUUCCUGGUGUAGCGGUGAAAUGCGUAGAGAUCCGGAAGAACACCGGUGGCGAAGGCGGCCUGCUGGGCUAUGGCUGACACUGAGGCGCGACAGCGUGGGGAGCAAACAGG
rnacentral:rRNA from 1 species